UACAGAGACUGCAAGCGUUAUUCGGAUUCACUGGGCGUAAAGGGUGCGCAGGCGGCCGAGUGUGUUAGAUGUGAAAUCCCGGGGCUCAACCCCGGAACUGCGUCUAAAACUACUUGGCUAGAGUAUUGGAGAGGGUAGCGGAAUUCACGGUGUAGCAGUGAAAUGCGUAGAUAUCGUGAGGAACACCAGAGGCGAAGGCGGCUACCUGGACAAUUACUGACGCUCAGGCACGAAAGCGUGGGGAGCAAAAGGG
rnacentral:rRNA from 1 species